rnacentral:tRNA from 1 species
UCCUUGGUGGUCCGAUGGCUCAGACGCUGAGUUCCCAAUGCAGGGAGCCUGGGUUCAAUUCCUUGUCAAGGAA